rnacentral:rRNA from 1 species
AAGUCUGACCUGCCCACUGAAUUUAUUUAAAUGGCCGCAGUAUUUUAACUGUGCAAAGGUAGCAUAAUCAUUAGUCUUUUAAUUGAAGGCUGGUAUGAACGGUUGGACGAAGUAUAAGCUGUUUCAUAUAAAUUUAUAAUAGAAUUUUAUAUUUUAGUUAAAAAGCUAAGAUGUAAUUAAAAGACGAGAAGACCCUAUAAAUCUUUAUAUUUUAUGUUAUUUAAGUUUUAUGGAUUUUUUUUAUUUUUUUAAUUUAAAAUAUUUUGUUGGGGUGAUAUUAAAAUUUAAUUAACUUUUAAUUAUUUAAAAUCAUUAAUUUAUGAAUUAUUGAUCCGUUAAUAGCGAUUAUAAGAUUAAGUUACUUUAGGGAUAACAGCGUAAUUUUUUUGGAGAGUUCUUAUCGAUAAAAAAGUUUGCGACCUCGAUGUUGGAUUAAGAUAUAUUUUAGGUGUAGCCGCUUAAAU